rnacentral:tRNA from 1 species
CGGGGUAUAGUGUAAUGGUAGUACGCAGCCUUCGGGAGGCUGUAGUCCCAGUUCGAAUCUGGGUACCCCGACCA